CGUCGGGUCGGUGCCGUCGGUGGCCGUGUGGGACGCCGUGCCGGGAGGGCGGCCAUCCUCACCGCUUUCACUUUCAGAAAACGCGUCUGUUUUCUUCUUUAUUUCCUCUCUUCUUUGUUUUCCUUUUUUUUUCCCCCCUUUUCCCCCCUUUUAAUAGAUGUGGUCACACAAGCACGGAGCAGCCUGGCUCCGCUACUCCUCGUGUUUAUGGCACUACUUUUUCCCCUCGCACUUCGGGUGCUCCUCAUGAUUUGCCUUUGGUUUUGAUGCUGCACUUCUGUGGAUUCUGUUGGUUUGUGCUCCUUUUUGGGCGCCAUACGCAUACAACGCCAUGUGUGGGGAUGGCUGUUUGCUCCUCUAGCAUGGAUUUAUUGCUUCCGUGUCCUUCUGUAUUAUGUUGUGUUACAUUUUAGGUUCUUAGAAUUAUUUUGCGGCUCCUCGUGAUUGUUUGUUUGCCAUGGAUGUCUUCCCUUCUCUCUUGUCAAGUCGAGAGCAGUGCUGUAGAAUUAGGAGGAAGGCCAAUUGGCAGCAGGGUUCUCGUGGCCAUGUUCUAUAAAAGCAAAUGGAAGAUGGGAUGGCUCAGAAAGCACAGAGGAAGGUUUUAAGCGGAAUUCUUUCUUUGCUGUAGUGCUGCCCUGAGUGCGCACACAGAGCCUACGCAACUUUUACACUCGGAUCCUAUAAGAGCUUUGCAAACAAAACCCAGUUUCAGUGCUGCAUUCUGUACGCUUUACCCAUAGAAAACAUUCACGUUGUGUUUUGCUAUUAGUAACAGUUUGUAAAUGGUAUUAGAGACCACUGCUCGGCCCUCUGUGUCCAGCACAGCACAUACAAGGUGUAUUAAUAGCCGUCCCUCUGACGUGUGUCUGUGCACACGGAUGGGUGUCCGGUGCUGAUCUGUGUGCAGUUCCAGCUGCCGUUGGCUGUGGGCAUGGUGGGAGCAGGGCUGCCUUGGGCCCAUUCUCCUCUUGGUGCUGGUUGGGAGCUUUCUUUGAAACCAGAACUUGAAGGAAUUUAUUUCUGCACGUUUCUUUUCCCCGUACGCCCAUUUUUUCAGCCUCGCGGCCACAAAAAGGAAAAGUAUGCGAAAGUACGGAGGAAAGGCAGAAAUGCUGCUGCCCUUUUUGGAGAGGACGCUGCCGGGGGGGGUCUGUCGGUCUGCUCGCAGCCCUUCCUCCCCGCGGGUCUUCAGCUCUUAACGAAAUUAAUCUGCAGUGAAAUCACAGAAAUCUGAUUCUAAUCAUCCGCCCUGGAACGAGAGAGCUACGGGACGGCAGGCAUGGUGUAAAAAUACUUAAAGCAUACGGAGCCGUAUCAUUAACAUUAAAACCUGCUGGUGUGAAAGGGGGGAGCAGGGGGGGAGGUUGCUGUGCCUCCUUAGCACUCUCCUUGCAACUUCUUGUGCAGCUUCUCAGGUAUCGCUGCCCAGCAGUGAUUGCUGCUGCGGCUGCUGGUGCUGCCCGGCUGUAAUACUGGUGGGCUGAACUGGAGUUUUCUCUUUCAUAGGAGACUUUCUUAAUUGUGGUUUGCUCUGGAAAGCCAGGUAAACUGCUGGGUUUAGCUUUUGCCAGCUUUAGCAUAAUGUGGAUAUAUUUUUUUUUUCCAGCAGUAAUUGUUUUCUUCCUGCUUUUAAGCAAGUUCAGCCCCCAGAGCUCCGUGCUGGAGCGCUGCGUGGCGGUACUGAGGUGCUGUGUUUUGGUUUGGGUCCUUCAUUCAAGAUGCAGUCAAAGCGUGGUGCUUGUGGAGCUCAGUGCCAACAUCGGGAUGUGUUAAAUCUGUUUGUUUGAGUUCUGCCUCUUUAGUUGCCUCUGGAUUUUUUUUUUUCCUCCUAAUGGCAUUUGCUAAGGUGAAAGGACACAUUUCUGUCCCAGCAGCAUUCGUCCAUUUGAGCUGACAUGGGUGCAGUUAUUCAUGGCUGCCAGAACUCUGCUGAUGGACUUCGUGAUGCUGAGAAUGUCAUUUUUCUCCAUUCACCUGCACUGUUUGCAGCUAUUGUAGCCAUAUGUGCUACAUUGAUAAGCAGCUCCCAACUUCUGUUGGUGCCCCAAAGAACACGCAGUGCCACGCAGAUGUAUUUCUCAGCAUCUGUUUUACACUGCUCUGUUUAAACAUUCCCUCUGAAUUAAAGCCCAGGCUGGAGGAGAGCAUUCCCUCGUGCCCAAAUGACUUUUUGUGGGUCAGAUUACAAAGCAAAACUAUUUUAUUUUAUUUUUGCAUAGUGUUGCUCUGAAGGCUGGACUGGGGGUAGGCCACACUUUAGCACUUUCCAAAUGCUAAAUAAGAUGGUUUGAGCUUCUGCUGCAAGUUGUGGACAAGCUCUUAAAUUACUGCUUUUAGCUCUGGAGCUUUCAGUAACAUGCUCUGCUCUCUGGGAUGCAGGCUCUAUUAUUUUCCCCCCCACACCUCAGUUAAUAAUAAUGGGACUUUGUUUUAUUUUCACUUCUAAACUUUAUGCCUCUCUUGCUAAUGUUUCUGUGUGUACAAAUGUGCUUUCUUCAUCCGUCAGACUUGGCAAUUCUUAAGCCACAAUAAACUAGUUCUGGGCAGUACAGCAAGGCUCUCUAUUUAUCAGGGCCUUUCUGGGGAAGUUUAUUACACUGCAAGAGUGACAUUUUCAGCCUGCUGAAAGAGUUGGUAAAUAUUUGGCAAGUCCUACUCCUUCAACAAAAAAGGGGCCAUAUUUUAUCUGUGAUAAGGCCUGAAAGAAAGCUGUCUAGGCAUUAAGGGCCUGAGUUGUUGGGCAGAGGGGUGGGGUUUGUGCAGGAUAUUCUUUGAAUUGGACCAAGAGAAGUCAAAUGUUUGCCUGCAGUUUAGGAACCACUGGUCCUCUAUGUUUGCAAAUAGAGACCUUCAAGCCAGGGCUGUAUUUGGAGUUGCAGAAGGGCACUGAGCAUGGCGAGCGCAGUAUCUGCAUUACAGGUUUAUGUGAUCAAGGAGGGAAGGUUAGAUGGAGGCUGUGCCUGCUAUCAGCCCCGUUGUUUGGUCUGACCUUUCGCAGCAGCCUGGCCGUGUGUUACAGUCUUGCUCUCUGGGUGUGCAGACUUCUGUAGGCCUGAAGCAGCCACCUCACAGACCUCCCCUUUCCCCCCGUUCUUGGCACUGUCCUCAGAAGGCAAAGCCACGUGCUCAGUGCCAGCCCUACUGCAGGCUGGUCCUUCCUUACACAGGGGCAGGCCAGCUGAUGGGAGCGCACUUUUCCCUUCCCACUGCUGGCCUGCUUGAGAAAAGCCUUCCAGCGCCUGCUGGCUUCAUCGCUUCCCUUCCUGGGGACCCAAAAGUGAUGUCUCAAAGGGGAGAGGAGAAGCAGGAGUGCCUCCAGGGCUGCAGGGCACAGCCUUCCAGGGCUUCAGCCGAUGGACUGCAGGUUAACAGCAUAUUGCUUUAGCACUAAAUAAUGAAAGUACUUCCGAGGCAUUGCUCAGUAGCUAUGGCUUUGUAUAGAUUUCCUGGAUUUUACGUGGAUCCUGGUGGCCUUUCAGCUCUGGAGGAUUGGGUUGUUGGUUUUUUCCUAUCCGUGGCAGCAGUGGACCUCUGUUCUUCCUCUCUUCGGACAGAAAGUUUUUCCCAGCGUCCUGCAAGUCCCUGUGGGUGCGUGGUGUGCUCACAUUGCAUGGCAUCGUGCAGGAUUGGAGUAUUUUUCCAGUGCAGAUUAGUGACACCGCUUACAGGUCUGGGAUUGGAAUCUUGGCCAUGCCUGCUAGUGCUGCCAUUCAUUAACAUUACCUUAACUGUAUGACAUCCCAUCUCACCAAGGAUCUGCAGCCUUGCUCAGGCAGCUGUGUUCCCCUGCGGUCUGGCAGCCCAUGGCACACUGCUGUCUGCCCUCGCUUUGUUGCACAAAUGCUGCCCAUCACAGCAGGGCCGGGGCUGCUCCUCGCUCCACCCUUCUCCUGCUGGAACCUCCAUGCAGUGAAGUGGUGUCACCGCUGCUUACUGCUGCUUCCAAUUUCUCAAUGUGCACUUUGCUUCUUUUUUUUUUUUUUUUUGCAAUGGUAGGCAUAGAAUUUCCUCAAACUGUAAAAUUAGAAAGCAGAUUUCAUUCAGCAAUCUCUCUUUGCCUGGUAACUCGUAAAAUACUGUCAGAAAUGUGGUCUGAAGCGCUGAAAUUAAAUUGAACCAGCAGCUUGCAGGAGCUGAUAGCCACUGGGCUGGUGAUGUGCCCAACUGAGCUGUGCUUUUGUGCUUCUGGGACGAAAUGCAGAGCUCUUCAGGAGCGCCUCUGUUGCUCUGUGCAGUGCAGGGCUCGGCGUGCUUUGCUGCCAGGAGGGCUACGUUCCCAUACAGCAGUGCAGGAGUUUAAGAAAUAAAACCCAGAAGCUGUUUGAUGCUGAGCUUCGUGGCAGAGCACUGACCAGGCCGGGUUGGGCAGAGCAGCCAUAGCUGAAACAUCUGGAAUAAUAUCACGUUUCCCCAAAACAGAGUUCUCUUUAAGAGCGGCAGUGAUUGCUGAUAUUUGAGAGGGUGGAGCGAGCAGCAAGCUACCAAUGCUGGAAAAUGAAUUAAGAGCUUAUAGAGAGAAAUGCUGAGAGGUGGGCAGGAAUUCCUUCUGAUUAAAAGAUGAACAAAUUGGGGGCGGUGGGACCCGGCGGGCAGUCAGCACUGCAGAACGGGUUGUAGCAAAGUGAUGUGUGAGUUUGGAGCCAGAAUCUGCAGGAAAAGUAUUGCAUGAAAAGAGAGAUUGUUUCAUAAGGAAGAAUUUGAAUGGAGUUCAGUUAAAACGUGCUAGAUUUUAAACUGUUUGUGCUGUUUUGUUAUUUCAUGGAAGGUACAGAUUCCUCAGUCGGACUGCUGUGGGUGUAUUUUACACUUGAAGGGUACUUAGGAAAGUAGAUUCAAAGUCUGGGUUGCAUUUAAAAUGUUUUAAAUUGCAAAAUCUGCUUUGGCUACAACAAUAUUUUGUAUAAUUGUGACUUCGUUUGUUAAUUUGGAAAGAAAUGUUUCUGGAGGAGGAGAAUAUUCCUAUGCAAAUACAGCCGUUCUGCAGAGCAAGAAGCAGCGAGGAAGGAGCUUAAUCACGACCAAGCUUGCCCAGUUCACUUUAAUUUGCCUUUGACCAUAAAACCAAACAAAUAAUGCAAUGACUGGAAAAAUGUAAUCAGAUAUUUAUGGUAUACAGGAUUUUUUUCAGUGUCGUGGAUUAUUCAGCAAUACACUUAAAGGUAUUUUAAUAUAUAAGGAGUGUCUGUUUCACAGGAGUUGCAUGGGGCCCAAACCAGUUUGAGUCUGCAUUUUAAAAGCAACUUAGAUUGACUUGUUUUCAGCGCCAUUGUUUCACAGACAAAAUUCAGCUGAAUAAAUCACCCUGAAUUUCUUAAAUCUGAGUUAGUGAGGAGCUUCAGGAACAUCAUCCAGAGCAGUGGACCGAAGGAGCAGAACUCCGGCACAGCUCUGCCCGUGUGAGCUGCAGCGUUAGCUGCAAUGCUGGGAGCUCUGCUGAGAUGAGAGCUGUGUUAAAUUUAGCUCCAGGAUUCACAUACUGCACUCACUUCAUUGGAAGGGUUUGGUUUGCAUGUAGCAUAUUUCAGCUAGCUGUGCAUCUCCUUGGGGAGUAAAUCACAGCCUGAAUGAGAACAUUCACACACAUUUAUGACAUUCAUGCUGUGUGCCAUUGGAGGCUCUGCAUGCAUUCAGACUUUAAAGCUAGCACUAUCUCUGCCCUGCUUCCUGGGUUCUCAGUUUCUGUAACUGAUCAUUAAGAGCAGUGAAACUCAACGAGAGAAUGCUUUUUCUGUGUCUUGCAAACUUCUUUACAUAGAAAGAAGCUUCUCCCUUUAAGAUUUCCACCGCAGAGAGCUCUUCUCCGUCGCUCCCUCCAAACACGGCCCAUGUGAGUAACUGCACUUGUAUAACUCGUUGUCUCACAUGCCCCAAAUAAAAGUGUAAGAACUCCAAAGAGUAAGGAAAAUGCUUAAGAGCCAGUUUGAGGUGUUAUGUAAUGGUCGUUACAUAAAGUUUUGGAUGUCUUUAUAGUUUAAGACAUUACUGCCUUAAAAAACAAACCCACAAACUGCGGUUUUGUUUCAAAGCAUCUGAUAGGAAUUUAAGCCUAUAAUAUAAAUUGGGAUUGGAGGUUGGUUGUGUCGCAGGAUGAGAGCACAGAGCUCCAUUGACACAGCAGUUAUGCCCUGAAACAUCUCCGGGGAGCUGUGGGUGCCCCGGCAGGGUUUGCCCCGUGCUGUCAGUUCGGGGGCUGGCAGUGAUUGUGGAUGAGCAGCCGUGAGAGCUUUCAUCGCUUCACAGCAGUGCGUUCAGAAAGGAGCCUUUGCAAAGUCUGCAACUUGUUGAACUUUACCCCUUUUUGAACUUCAAAGUGCAUUUUCCAAAUAGAAAUAUGCUGUAACUAGCUAGCCAACCUUGUUAGACACCACUGCUGAGUUAUGAGCGGUUGCAUGCAAGCAGCAAGCACAGGUUUGAGUGCUUAAAAAUACAUACAGCAAGGCUGCUGUGAGCACGGUGGGCUGUGCAGGGCAUGGAGGUUGGCUGCAGCCGUAGUUGGUGCUGCACAGACUGCUGCAGGGCAGUGAUACGCUCUUCCUCUGCUCCAUCGUCUUCUCCUUGAGUAAACCUACAUGUGGAAGGGAGUACCUUAGUUUGGAUGAAAGAAAUGGAAUAUAUCCCAAUUCGGCUUCCAGAAAUGAUCUCCCACCACAAUGACUUCUGAUCAAUGAAGGGAUGGCCAAAUACUUGGGGUUUUUUUAGGUGAAAUUCCCCUCAACUUCACUAUUCUAGGCACAGCUUUGAGUGUAAGCAGCACUGCUGAGCUGACGGCCAGGCAGGAAAAGAGCUGAAAAUAAAAAUGAGUACACCGCCAUGGUGUCUGAGCUGGCAGCUAAUGAGGAGCAGCAGGGGGUGGUCAGUGGGAGGCAGAGGGUUUCCACACUCAGCACUUUGCUGCCAGCUGGUCCUGGUGCCCCUGCUUGCAAUAUGCAACGUCCCUCAGUCUGUGGGGCCUAAGGGAAAAUACCAACCUCAGGCUGUCCAUGGAAAGGACCCUAAAAAUUGUGUUUAUGAAGCUGCUCCUCCGACAAGGUGUGCUGGCAGCACUCAGCAGGCACCGAGUGGUGCAGUUGUGCUUUUCUGGAUGUUGCUGUGACUUACAGGUCUGUGACAAGUGAAUUUGGGUUUCUUUAACCUGUUCUCUAAAACAUCAGUGAUGUUAAGAACACGAGCUCAGCUUCCUGUUGCCAAGUUCUGUCCAGCUGAAAUAAAGGAACAUAGCAAAUGAGGAGGAAGGUCCCGUAACUGCUCUAAGGAGGCUUCUGCAAACACAGGGUUGGACUAUUCUCCUUCUCAAAGGAGACCUCCUUUAGAGACCAGUGCCUCUUCUUUUGUAAUCAAACCUCCUCUGCUCUCCAUUGCUGAUUGGAAAUGGAUUUGCACGUGCUGUGCUUUCAUUGCAAUCUCCUGGCUGGUCAGUGUUAGAUGGUUUUAUGGGGUGAACGUGGGCACAGUGCUCCCUGAUGCAGGGCCGCUCCAGCUGGCACUCACACGCCUGCCUCAGGAUGCAGCUCUGGUCCAUCCCUCCAUGUCCCUGUGCAGUGGUUUCCUCUGUCACUGAGGAGGCUCUCAGCUGUGCCUUAGGAAGAGGAGCUGUCUGCUCCCCUGCUCCUCUGCUUGCUCCUCCCUGGCGACCGGAGACAGUCUGAGCUCCCUGAAAUUGUGAUGAAGUAGGAAUAAGGCUUUGCUCGGAAGGUGGACAGGUGGUGCAGUGAGAAAAAUGGCUGGGAUGGCGUACAUUGCAGCUAAUGAAAUGUGAGUUUACGUGGCCACCCAUAGCUGAUGUGUGUUUUAUGGUUGAGUUCUUCCAUGAGAUGAGUGCUGCUAGCAGUGAUGUGCUUCAUAUUUCUUUUGAGAACUUUGUACACUCCUCAGGCAUAAAAUAUUAUAGAUUCAGUAUGGUUGGAAAAGAUCACCAAGAUCAUCCAGCCCAACUGAAUGAAAAUGUUUGUGAAUGAUAAUAACUGCAUCAUGUUUUAAUGCUGAUAAAUAAUAUCCAUACUGCUGUCAUGCCCAUAAUUGGUGCUGGGGAGGGCGUGGGGAGAAUGCAAUUUAAUUGCAAAAAUUGCCAUUAAAAAAAAGUCUGAAACCAGAGUUUGGAUGAAUUCUUAGGAGUGCACAACCACAGGGAUGUUCUUACAACCUUUCCAAUUAUUGAGCCUCAAAGAACUGGAAAAUGGGGAGCAGUACAGUAGCAGAUAGAUCUGCUUCAAGCUCCAGGUCAGUAGCAUGCUUAAGCACAUGCUUAACUUCAAGCAUAUGAUUAAUCACAUCCCUGGUCCACGGUGUAAUUAAAUGUGUGCUUAAGUGCUUUGUACAGCACAGUACCAGCCUGCAGGCGUACUCUGCAUACUGGUGUGCCUGAGAAAGUGGUGAAUCAGAAAGUGAUUUUUGGCUGGAGUUUGGAAACCAGCUUGAGAGAGCUGGUUAGGCACCCAGGUCUCAUAUUUGAAUAGCUAUGGAAAAGCUAGUCUUGUUGGCAGAACAGUGUGAGUAGCAAGGUGUGGCCAUUUAUUUUAUGGUAAUUCCCUAGUUUUGUUUAAAAUGAAGUUAUUUAAAAAUCCCUUUCUCUUAGCAAUUUCCUGCUGUUCUCCUGUAACGCUUUGCUUUCCUUAAUACCAGCCAGACUUGAUUCUGCUCCAACAAAGCCAAGCUUGCCUGGCUGCUUCUCUCCUAACUUACUGGUCAGAGUGCAGGUAGAUUCCGAAUUGGAGGCAGUGCUGGUGGGUUGAUGACCACAGCACACCUCUGCCUCUCCUGUAGAUGAUCAGUCCAGGUGCAGAUCUGCAGUGAUGCCCUCAGCUGGGACCCAGCAGGUAUGUGUGCAGUGCUGCAAUGAGACGCCUGCGCUGCUGUGCUGCGUGGCUGUACCCGUGGGCCACUGCAAAGCUCAUGGCCGUGUGCUUGGUGUGGUCCUGGGCAGAGCUUUGGCCUGGGACUUUUCCAGCCAGCCCUGGAUAUGAUGUGAAAGUCUGUGUGGGCCAGGGACCAUUACUAACAGGCUGUUUGGAUGCGACUGCCCUGUGUUGGUGGCUAGGUGAUUGCAGACUGGCUGGUCCCUGCACUGUUUAAUUUACUAGCAGUCAUGUAGCCUCUUUUAGCCAGAGCUCCUCCCCUGGAGUUUUUUCCUAGCAUUCUCCCUUCCCGUCCCUUUCCUUGUGCCAACCACUUUAAUGCAUUCGCCUUCACACCAGCAGCUCCUUCCCCGUUGCUCUGGGAUUGUUUUGCCAACAUGUUUGUUUGACCACACCAUUUGACCAGGCAUUGCUGUCAUCCUCUUCUGUGCCAGGCUGAGCUGGAUAAUGGUCUUUUGCUGCUUGGGAUGGGUAUAGUAUGGAGCUUCUAGAAGACAUUUUGAUGACUAAUUGUUCUAUUUUAUAUACUUAAAGUCAGUUAGGUGCCAUAAUUUCCUUCUUCUGGGAGGUCUCUGCAUAUAAAUGCUAGGGAGGUCACGGUAAUGAGGAAAGUUGACGCAGUAUUAAAUGCUGCUAUCUGAACUAUUGGCCCCUCCGUUGCUGAAAGGUGGGAGGGUAGUUUUCCAAGCAGGCUCCAUGGAAACUCUGUGUAAUGUGUUUGAUUAUCCAACGUUGUCAUUUUCAAAGGGACCAGUCAAGAUUAACAGGGCCUAAAUGUACCAUCCCCUAAAAAUAACUCUGGCUUCCCAGCUCUUGCUGAUGGUGGCAGAGGUGUAAGAGCUGAGAAAUGAUGCUCCAAACAAAAGAAUUCAAAGGAAAUGAAUUGUAAAAUGCCUAUGGCCAAAACCACCCCUUGUCAGCCCUGGGAGAUGGGUGCUCCUCCACCAGUGCACGGCUGUGUGUUCGUUUCAGUGUCUCAGCACAAUGAGGACAGAGAGCCUGAUGUUCUGCUUGGAAGCCGGGCUGCCACUGAAGACAGCAGCAGUCAGUAUGUCUUCUGAUAACUGGCAAAGUGAGAAGCUUCCUGAAUUUAACCAAUGUGUGUAAUUUUGUUUCCUUUCGGGUGAGAGAAGCAAUGAACCCAGCUGGCGUGGUGACUUCUAGAGCACGCUUGGGCUUGCACAAAGGACAGCCCGAUCAGAGUGAGACUGUGGUGGCAGGACCCAAAGCUAAUUAUGCCCUAUUAGUAACUCAUUUGUGGCUGAAGGGAUUUCCCAAAUGCCAGGCACAGUUGUGCUGUGCCAGUCUCUCUUGGGGCAGGUCUUGUUUGGCAUAGAUCAGACCACAUUCAGGCAUGCAUUCGUUGUCUUGCGCUGCAGUUAAUAUUUUCUUGGGGACCUCUGCUAAUUUUCAAGAUGAUGAUCAGCCCAGUGUUGGUUUUGAAAGAAAAAUCUGAGAAAUGCUUCUUUUCAGAGAGUAAAUCCCAUAAAUAACUGGAUUCUGGAAGCCUGCUUUGCCAGUAUUUCUCCACAGCAGCUCAUUACUUUCAGGGCCCUGCUGGCAUCGGCUGCUUUCUCGGUGCUGCGUCCUCUGGCUCGCCCACCUGGAAACAGCCCCACUUCUGGAGAGCAGGGUGCACACGGGGUCCCUGAAGCACUGUGCACACUCAGCAGCUCUGAAGGCAGCUCUUUGUCUCCAGCAGGCUACCUGGAGUCAGCUCUGCGGCCAGCUGAAACCAGAGGCUGAGGCUGUUGGCCGGGCAGAGCAGGAUGGCAGCAGGCAGCCGCUGUCACAAGGGCCAGAGCCUCUGCUGUGAGCGGGUGUUACUCAUUUGGUAAUACCAGUCUAUUCCAGAUGAGGAUCUGCCCCUUUGUUUUGUGUAUAGCACAAUUUGUUUUCAAUUUUUGUUUCUGAAAUGAAACUGUCAAGAUGAAAUUCACACUGAAAAAAUUGAGGGAAACGGCCCUUUGUGCGUUUCUAACAAUCCUCUUCAAUGACUAAAGCUGGAGGAAUUGUAGAAACUGCAUUCACUUCCUACCUUUGGUUUCUUUCUGUGCUGUUCUCGUGCUUUAUGAAUUUCAAAUCUAACAGGCCAAAAAGCCGUCAGUCCCAAAUCCUCCCCCUGACCUCACUGUAACCCAGGGACUCGUGCUCUGAUGCUGAAGUCUGGCCGUGCUCCUGUGGCAGCAGGAGCAGCACGUCCCUGUGUGGCACACGGAGCCGUGUGCUGCUUUUCCAGCUCAAGAAGGAACACGUAAACCCUCCACAAAGGGGGGUUCCCCAGGGCGGGACACAUCCAUCCUGCAGGAGUCUGCCAGCUACCCAGUGCAAGUAAAACAAAAUCAGGGUGAGAGAGCCUAACCGGGCUGAAAUCUGCGGUGAGUCCACCUGCCUGCUGUGCUCUGCCCUGGUGAGCUCCAUCUGCUUGUGCUGCUGGGGAGGUUCCCUGCAGGGUCUCACCGGGUUGUCUUCUGAGUCAGCGCAACAGCAGUGCUGCGGGGACCUGGUCCUUACCUGGGGUUCCUUCCAACUACAGAGAGCUGUUUGUUGUCAUUCCAAGAGGAAAAAAGAAAAGAACCUUUUGAAAAUAAUAACGGCACGCAUCUCAUUUUAAUUUUAGUCGUAGAAACUACUUGGUGCUCAUGGCAAAGGAAUUGAUUCCUUAAACGAAUGAAGCAGCAGCGCUGCUUGCAGUGUGGGGCUGCUGACACUCUGACUCAUGCUUUGCAUCUCACAGGAUCUGGCUUUUAUGCUUCAUUUAGGACACCAACGUCAUCAGCAUUCAGGGGGCUCCUCCUUUUUUUUUUUUAUUAAGAUACUGCUGUUACAUUUCUAUUUUUUUAAAGAUGCAAAUAAUGUUUGGAUCAGAAUCACAGCUCGUGUUUUAUUACCAAAUCAGGGCAUAAUGGUUGCUUUCAUUUAACUUCCCAGCGUUAGAAGAAAUUCUAAAUGAAAAUUAGGUGUGGCUUCGUACAGCAAUGAGAGGGGCUGAGGCAUUUGCUGUGUGCCAGGCUGGCUGCUGCCAUGGAGCAUCAUUCGCUGGUGAGACAGGUGAGGACAUUCAUCUUGUGCUGCACGUGGCCGGGACCUUGGGCUGCCCGAACCUCAGCAUUCCCAUUGCAUGCAGAACAGCUGCGCCGGCCCCGUCCGUGUCCCUGGAGAUGGCAUGUUUGAACGGCAGCAACUCCAAACACGGCGCAGCUCUGCAGCUCAGCCCCAUUGUUCUGAGGCUGGAUGUAACACAGCGCAAGUGAGCCCUGCAGAGCGCCUGGGCCUGCCCCGGACAGGGGCACCCGAGCCGUGUGAGAUGGCUGCUCGUAGCACACUUUGUGGGUUAUGGAGACAGUGUCGUGUUUGUCCUAACCUGUAACUGCUGGGAAUGGGUUCUUCGUUGAGGGGCAGGGCAUUUUUAAUGCAAGAGGGGGAGAAAAAAAAUAGUGCUGCGAGUCCUCAGUGGUUCCCUGCUCUGCUCCAAAGGCCCCGGGAGCCCCAGAGCAGCUCCCAGAGCUCUGUCCUCAAGGGCAGAGUGCUUGCCCAGCCCACGGGGCUUCCCACAGCAUGCAUGGGGCUGGUGUGCCCAUCCAGCACCCCACAGCGAGCUCAGGGAAACAGCAGGGCAGGAGCACCCAUGGGAAUCUGCCUAUGGAUUUUGUUGAGUCCACUGCCAUCAACAUUCAAAUUACCAAGGAGUUAAAAGAAAAGUGCUGCUCCUUGCCCUAUGAACAUGCUGGGUUGGGCUGGGAAUUCCAAGAGGAUUUGUAAAUGAGGUUGAAAAUUCCCAGCCAACCACUUGGCACCUUUUUAGUAGGAAAAAUAUAGCUCUUAAAAAUCUCAUAAACUGAAAGCGGUUGAGAAAUCAGUGGCAAUUACCUAAUUGAACCCCCAGCUUUAUUAAUAAAUCAAGAACAACUGCUCGUGCAGCUGGGCGGGCGCUGUGACCCCCUCCCACCGCCGCGGGGCUGCGUCACAGUGCACACACAGCAGGUGCUCACCGGCGCUGGGAUCCCUGUGUUUAAUGGGCAAAGUGCGGUGCACUGAGUGCUGGCAGGACAGGCCAUUGCUUCAUUUUGCCCUGGUGAUUUGGGGGGCGUUUGAGGGUUGCUUACGGUGAGGUGCGCUCUGUCUGAUGGCAUUUCUGCCGAGUGACAGACGAGCCAUCUGGCGUUAUGCUGAAGUGCAGCGCAGCGUUUGCUUAGGAGGGAGCCUGCAGUGAUGACAAAGCAGUUCUGGACCUCCACUGCCUGUGUCACGGCCGGUCAGCACGGCUGGGCUGCUGCUGGCAGAUCAGCAAAGCCAGCAUGAGGUGGCAGAGCCAUGCUGGAGCGAAAGGAGCCCAUCAGACCUCUGCCCUCCUAGGGACGUGGAGGGGACUGAGCGGCAGCAAGAAAAAUGAGGGACUUUCAGGGGCAGCUGUGUUUUACUAACCCAGUCAUAAUGCCCCUAAAAAUCCUUAUUGUUCUUGCAAUGGUCAACUGUGACCUCCGGCACAGGGAGGCCUGGAAGGAACAUUUCAACUGCUUCUGUUAGAGCUGAAUUCUAUGUAAAGGAGAAGUGACUAGAAACCCCAGACUGGGUCCCAGGUCUUGCUUAACUUUGUAAUGCACGCUGACUUGCUGACGCGACUCCAGUUAAGGUAUGGUAUGAAUCAGGAGCUCCAACAGCCGCUGCGGAAUGAGCGCGUUCACAUGAAGUCAUCCUGCAGCAGCUAUUGCAGAAUAGUCAACUGCUCUGUGUAAGCAAGCCCUAAAAGCCAAUCCUGGUCCCAGCGGCUGUGUGACUAGGUAAGGGAGGUAAAGGGCACAAGAAAGGCACCCUUCUGUCAGCUAUGGAUGGGCUGGGAGCAAAGAAACCCGUGCUGCUCAGGGCUGCCUUGCAGGCCGCUGCUUUUGGAGUGGUUUGGUUCAGGACUUUCUGCUUUGAUGCCUUUGAUUUCUGAGACUGGCCCUGCGUACGAAGCCGCAGACUGUUUCCUCAUUUAGCCAGUGCAGUGUCUUCACCUGAUACCGAAACAAGAUGGAAGGAAUUGAAUGUUUCCCCCGGUGUGGCUGGAAUUGAUCUGCUUUUAACCCAUUAUCUACCGAUGGAAUAAACAGAAGCAGCUCCACUACUACCAGGAUGGAGAACAACCACCGACUCUUAGUACCGGAAACAGGAAGAUCCAGAAGGGGUUUUUGUUCCUACGUUACAAUUUUUAUCUUUAGUAUUCACAUCAUACUCAAAGUAAGAAUAUUUAUAUGCUAAAAUAAACCCCUUUUUGCUUUGUGAUACUGGAUUGAGCCUGCCCACCUUCUUCCUAUCACAGCUCUGACCCAUGGAGAGAGCCAAGUGGUGGAUGUGGAGGUCAGAAGGGGCCCUCCGAAUGCAGGGGAUGCACACAGAGCAAUCCUGCAGCCCGUCCUGAAGCCGGUGCAUGGAUGAGUGGAUCUUUCUCUCAUGUGCUAUGGGAACUCUGCCUAUAUAAAUGUCUGACAAACUCUACCAGUGCUUUAUAACCUUGUGUCUUCUACCUUCUGGUAAGCCACAAUUUCCUGCUUAUGCAUCUCUGUGGAAGAAGCCCUUCAUAUAUGUGACUGCAUGUGGUGAAUAGGAGAGCAAGAAGAGUUGGUGUUAUUUUUAUCCUAUCUGUUCUCAAAACAGCUCUCCCAGUCACACACCCCUCCAAUAGCCUUGGAGUGGAGGGCAGGUGCAGAGCCCUGUGGGGACACUUGGUACUUGGCCAGGGGCUGGCAGGCAGGAGGGCUCCUGCAUGCCCUGCAGGUGGGAUUCCUGCUCCAUUUCACUGCAGGGCAUUCUGGGCAGACCUGUGAGUCCAAUUCUGUGUGCCCAGGCCAAAGCAUUACGAUUUCAAGGACAAAUUUGGCUGUUCCUUUUGAAACUUCACUGUCAUUUAGCACCUCCAGUCUGGCUUGGAAAAAUGCAGAAAUUCCUAUAAUAAAUGUGUUUUGAAAAGUAUACACAGGCAAUCAUGAUUUUUUCAGUCAGUCUCAAGUGAUGCCAUCCACUUCUACUCUGCUUAAGUGCUGCCCUGGACUUCUUGAAGUUGCCAUCCCUGGCAUAUGCUAAGUAAGUAGUAUGAACAUUUCAAUAGACCUUGCCAAAACAAAGCAUCCCCUUCUGGCAUGCAGAUAAUUCUGCAUGGAUAGCAGAAGAUGUACUAAGCUUGAGCCACUGUUCAUAUUUCUUUGCACAUCAAAGCAAUUGCACCAGCAUCUUUCAAGCACCCAUGUUCCAGGCUGCAAGGAGUCUCUGGCUGCACAGGGCCUUUCUGAAUUGCCCUGUGAUGUUAUCGACUGCUUUCAGUGCACAACAUCUGCCUGGAAUAAUUUAAUGUGGUGCUUUCAGUCAAAUAGAAAUUGCAUGUCAGCCACAUGAUCUGAAUUAGACCAGUGCAGGAAAUAACAUUUUGCAGGCAAAUUUGGUGCCUUCUUUCACUGGAGCCCUUUGGUACUUGGCUGUAGUUUUCGAUGAAUAGCUGUUUCAUGGAGGAAAUAUGGUAAUUAAGGCAAACUUUCUUCAUGUUUUAAACUACUUUCAGCAAAACUAGAAAUCCAAGCUGCCAAGCAACCUUUAGUUUUAGCAGAUUACUGCUGGUCUGUGUCUUUUUAAUUAGGCCAGAGUCAAUCAAGUUUAAUUAAGAGAAUUGGUGGGACAACCAGGACAGCCUUCCCAAGAGCAGGACUCUGUUCUGGGGCCCAGUUGGUACUGGUUGAGAUUUGGUUCUCUAUAAAGACAAAGAAAACAAAAUAAAACCUCAGCAAAAUGAAUAGAUGUCACGAGUCUCAAGCACACAGACAAAGGACAGGGUUUGACCAUCAGUCUGUAGGCAGAAGGGCUGUCACAGACAGCCAGUCACAAUAUAUUCUGAUCUUUUGGUCAGCACAGAUGCUACCUGCAGUACCAAGCUUUGGCUCUGUGGCGAAUGAGAAGCAAAUCUACGGAUUCCAGUGCUUGUACUUCCAGGCUGUUAUGGCUUGCUCUUAAAUGGGGAAAGGAAGCCAAAGGAAAUCAUGUGCAUUGGAGUCAAAUACCAUUUUUAGGAGUGGGAACUGCAUGAGUAUUUCACCAGUGAUUAAAAUAGCCAGGGACCAGGGCACACUAAUGAUUAAUGAUCUCUUUCUGCAAGCUGAGGACAUGUCCUACAGAAUCUGGCCCUCCUGAGAGAUAGUCAUGAAGUACAGUUUGGCGGAGCGUAUUUUAAAGGCAUGAGCAAAAAUUGGUAGGUUAAUUGUUGUUUUUUAUGUUGUGGAUCUGCUGUGUCAUUUGGCUUGAAUUACUGGCCCCUAUUUCGGAAGCAUGCAGUACAUGGAAGUAGCCCUUACCAACCUGGUGCAGCCACACCACUGUCCCACUCCCAGCACAGGCAGGAGUGCGGGCUGAGAAGUUACACUAAGCUCACUGCUGCAGGUGGAACAAGGCCAUCUACACAAUUAUUCUAAAGCCCCUUUUUUUUUGACUUACCUCGUUUGCCUUCUGUGAAGGCGGCUCUCCUUAGCAGGACCCCCAGCACUCCUGAGGUCACAUCCUGCAUGCUGCAUUACGGGGAACUUGGAGGCCUGGACUGCACCUUGUCCCCAUGGCAGCUCAGAGCACAGCCCCACUCGGGAGGCCCCACCAGCCAUCCUCCAUCCCUUCACUACAUGGCAAAGAUUACUGCUGCAGGAAGGAGGCCAAGCAAGAAGCUGUGUGAUCCCUAUCAACGCACCUGCCCUCUUCCAGCAUCACACAGACACCACUGAUUUGUCCAUUAGAGAUGUCAUUUUUCCUGCACAGAAACAGCAGUACAAGGCGUUACUACAAUCAAACUUCAGUUUCAAGUGAGGAACUUCUGGGAGUUCCUCUUCUUUUUUUUUUUUUUUUUUUUUCCAGCUGCAGGGAAGGGUGAAAACUAUCAGCUAUACAAAUAUUACAGUUUAUGCUGUUAAAUAAAUCAUAAUUUGUCAACAGGUAGCUGAAUUAUGGCCAAUUCCACUGAGAGCCAAAACUGAUCUUCUUUCCCAGUGCUAUUGUAUAGUAACAGCUGGCAGAACACUGUCAAGCAAAGCUGUGCUGUGCUAAGCUGAUAAAUAAACCAGUGAGCCUCAGUGUAGGAGCCACAUCAUCUCAUGGAGAGACUGCAGCUCAUGCUGGAAUGUGUUGCACAAAUGCUUGUUAACAGUCUACACACAGGCAGAGAGUUGCUUUAUGAAAAGGUGUUAGAAAGAUGUGAUUUGAAUAAGACACAGCAUUCCUAGGGUUAUCAAAAGAACCAGCCAGGUUUCAGGUCUCAGAGUACUAAAGCACAGCAGCAAGCCAGCCAAUGUUAGCAUUUCUUGUUCAUUCAAAUGGAGAGUCUGGUAACCGGAUUCUGGAUGAGUGGAAAGUCCCAACAAGUUCUAAGAUACAGCAAGGCAAGCCAGAAAACCAACAGAGAGAAAUGUGUUUCUAUUUGUUUCACAGCUCCCAAAUUCUGCUGGAGAGUUUUGCACUCUUCAGUUGUUUCUGAGGCAGAAGGAGACCUCCUCUGAUUGCAGAUGCUGUGUUGCUUUAAGCCAAUCAGACUACACUGUCCCGGGUGGGAGAAGGAAGGGUAACAAGUGCCAGUGCCCCAUCAGGAGAUACAGCUUCAUGCUGGAGCUCAGAGCCUCGUGCAGCCGGCAGAUAACUCUGUGUGUUUUAUACUUAACACCACUCUGGUUUUGUCCUUGCUUUGCAGGCAUUUUAUUUUUAUCGUGGGUAAGAACAGGAACAUGUGCAUUUCUGUGAAAGGCCGAGCACAGGGCUGCAAGCUCCAUCUCAGUGCAAAUAAUACUUUGGCAGGAAACCUGCAGGAGAUUAAAUUAGGGACCUAAAGACUGAAUAUUAAAACAUUUCCAACUUUUGAGUUCUUUUAAAUAAGCAGCUACAAAACAAAGCAGUCUGACAAAAUUAGCAGGACCGAAGUGCUAAAGGAACCCACUAAGGGUCAUUUAUUUGUUGAUGCAGAUUUAAGAGAACUUUUUAAGUUAUUUGUAUUAGUAGCUGUGUAUGUCAACAUGCUAUUUCCUCAAUGCAUUUUGAGUCCAGAUUAGCUAAAGUUUUAGGUGUUGGCAGACUUGCUACAAUAGAAGGGAAAUGCCACUGGAAUAACUUUAAACAUGAUCCAAUCCCUGAUGAUUCAUUGGAUGUGUUAAAAUUUCCUUUGAGACCAUGUAAGUAAUGCAGGGACUGGAGUGCAGAGUGCCUGUGACUCAGCUCUCUGCGAGGCAAAGGGAGGAUGUCAGAAUUGCUCACUGGGACUGGAGGAAUCUCAUUUAUCUAUUUAUAGGCAAGGCUGAGAUGAGCUCGUGCCAUUGAAGAGCUGAAUUUGCCAGUUCUCUUGGGGGGAGGAAAAGGGAAGGCCCUCCUGUUAGCUGGUGGGGCUGCUUCCAAACCCAAGGACUCUGGCCAGCUGCAUUUUCUUGCCCUCGGAUGAGCAGCGUGGGGCACCUGGUGCAGACCUGUGGGAGAGCAGAGCAGCCCCAGCCCCCGGCACCAGCUGCUGCUCAGCCCCUGCUCCAGAGGGGCUGCAGGACCAGCAGGUCCCGUGCCCUGAGGUCAGGGGGCUCUUCCCACUGCAGGGGCAUCACUGCAGCACGCGUGUAUGUCAGCCAGCUUCAUUUAAGAGGUGCUGGUUAGAGGCCGCUUUGCCAAAAGCCUUUUUACUGCUUCUCUUCAAAGAGGUACAGCAGUAUUCCCCGUGAGUGGGCAUUCUGCCUAACAGGGCAUCAGAAAAGGAAAGCUCCAGGGGACAGAGCGGGGAGCCGAGCACACUGCCUGCUUCCAGCCUCUGCACAGCCUGCGAGCCACUGGCAGUGCUGGGACAGCCAUUCCUGAAGGUGUGCUUUCAGCCAUGUAUAUUUAGGUUUGGGAGGUGAAAGACGGUCACACUGUGGGUAAAAAGCAAGAGCUCAAACCCACAGCGAAAUGUUUUAGUGACACUGCUUUUCUGGUACAGCUGGCACUUAGCUGUACAGCAGCACACACUGCGGCCUGGUCUUCUUACUAAGAAAGAAACCACUCCAUAUAGGCACCACACACCGCACUGCUCCAUCACUGGGAACACCUUUGUGGUGUUGGUCCGGGCUGUUCUUUCCAUUCCCUGCAUUUAGCUGCUGUGGCUAAUUCCCUUCCCAAAAAAGAAGUUAUCUAGGAACACAGGGCUCUGGAUUACUGAUCCAGCCUCCUACUGUUACAUUCAAUUACAUCAUAUCGUGCUUUUUGGCAGGUUGUCCCAGCACUUCAUUUAAAAUUUUCAGCCUUAAUAUCAUUUGUUCUUGUGCCAGCAUCAUAAUGUAGUUUAAACAAUUCUCUUUUUUCUCUGAUCUUUACCUAUCAGAUAUAUUUACUGAAAACAAUCCUAUCUCCUCUAGCCUUUGUUUUGAAAAACUAAACAAAUGAAACUCUUCUAGUCUCCUCUUGUUCCAAACCCUCUGAUCAUCCUCAAUGCCCUUCUCUGUACCUGCUAAUCUUCCUCGAACAUGAGUGAACCUGUACCUUCUAGGAUUGUGUUUGCUUCUCCAUAUCAGAUUGGUGGCUCACAGUCAUCCCUGGGAGCGAAUUAUUCUCUGUGGUUUUUUUUCCACCCCCCUGCCUUUGUCAUCUUCAAGUAAGUAAUAUGAUAUUCUAGUUAUUAAUUUCUAAAUGCAUGUCUUAAUACUUUCUCUAUUCUAUUUCAGAUGAAUUCUGUCAUUCACUCAUUGCUGAUUGAUGUUCCGAUCAUCCUCUGUAUUAACAAAGCCCGUGUCCUCAGCAGAUUUCUUUACUACAUUCCUACUGCUGUGCCAGACUCGUUAAUGAAAGAAGCAAGAGUGAGCUCAACACUGACUCCUGAGGAGUUCCACUUACUGACUGCCUCUGUCUGGCAUUUCUUCUCUGCUCAGAGCUCCCCUUUCCUCUGCACUUUAACAGGUUUGCAUUCACCAUCCACACUAAUCCCCAUCAUCUCAACUUCAACGAGUAAUUUCCCCUGUGGUAUAAUAUCAGAUUCUGGAUAGAGUAAAUCACCUGUAUUUCAUUUGCCUAAAAAAAUAAUCAGUCAUCAAAGAGAAAUAUCAGGUUAAGCUGAACUCAUUUAAUGUGCCAAAUCCUGGGAUGGAAAUCUGCCAGUGCACCUUCACCUGAGCACACCGAAUUCUUCAUGCUUUUCCUUCCACCUUACAUGUGAUAAUUUUCAUUCCCUUAUGUAUAUUCCCACUAGAAAUCUUGUCUUUGUCCCACUGCUCAAUACGAUCAUCUCUACUGAAAAUGUGGACAAAGUGUUUUUAAUUCAUUUUUAGACCAUAUGUGGAUGGGUCUUAAUCUCAACCCCAUUCUCACUCCAUAAUGACCACGUUUCUCCUCUUUUUAUUUCUCUAGCUGAAACCCUCUGCCAUCUGUUCUAAUUUCCUUUUCAAGUCCAAUUCACAAGUUCACUUUUGACAUUUUUCAUCCUGUCUCUGCCUUUCCCAUCCCAGCAGCUUCAAAUUGGAUGACUGAGGCAAAUACUGCCUUCAGUCUUCUGCUCCACCACUCUUCUCCAAUGCCAUCCUUGUGGCAGUGGCAGUAACUCAUAAGGCAGGUCCAGAACUGCUGCACUGAACACGUCACUGGAGUGGUGGCUGUUCAGGACCUGCAGGGUAAGCUGCUUUGUCAGCCCUGUGAUAAGAGUGAUGGCCUCCAUCAAAGAGCAGAGCAGAGCAGAGCAUCGUAUUCUGUAGCAGUUCCUCUCCAGACAUCUGAUUUCAAUCCUUAGCUGCAUGCCAGCAGAAUACCCUCAUGCCAAUCAGAACUUCUGCAUGUCAGUUAAUGCUCUCCACGUGUUUGGGGCUGGUUAUUUAUCCCACUGGGGUUGGAGCAUUUCCUGUCAGGGUUCAUCUUCCUGCAUGUUUCAGCUGGUUUUGGAAUCCAAGUUCCAUCACAUUCAAUUCCUCAGAUCUGCAGUGCAGCUGAUUCCACUAAUUAGCUCCCUUAACUUCUCAACAUUUGCCCUCUUUGAGAUGAGUAUGUUUUGGUGUGUCACUACAGACGGUGCUGAAGAUUCAGUCCUAAUGAGGUGCCUUUAAAAGCUCAUGUUUCUUACCCAGAGUCCUCAGAUGCUUUGGAUGACUCACAACUUGGUGCUUUAGAGACAGCGAAAGAACUGCACUUCCCUUUGUGCAGGAGACAGACUCUGUAUCAUCUUAUCAUUGCUCAAUAUUACCCAGCAUUUUCAUUCUGUAGCCAACUGAGACAAUAAAGAGCCUAAAAAGUCACAUUUCAAAAGAUACUGCACUGGAUGGAGAAUGAGUUAAGUCCCUAAAGUGAAGUCCAAAGCUUCCUACCCCCACUGAGAUCACUGCAGCACUUUGCUAACCAAUUAUGCUUACCAGAAAGCAAGGUGUCUGUACCAAGCUAUUUGCUUUGAAUUCUGCCUAUUUCCUGCAGAAAGCAAAGCCCAUCCAGACUGCAGCUGACCGGUCCGAGACACGCCGACAGGUAGCAGAGGCCUAGCUUAGAGUGCUCGUACAGCACCAGCACAAGAAGAGAGCCACGUCCACAAGGGACUUCUGAAAAAUGCAAAGCACCUUGAGAAAUCCAGGCCUUACUGCCGGGACUCUGCAUGUGAUGCAUGUCCUCUCUUUACCUGCCUCCUCAGCUGCAGAACUGCAGCAGCACUGCCCUCUUCCCAAGCCAGCAUGCGAGUGAUACAGCCACAGUGCUGGGGCUACGUUGCCAUCUGAGAUAGGUGGAAGCUGCCUUCUGCUGCCAAACUGGUGCGUGUUCAAACCCUGUAGAAAGAGCUGAAAUGGCAGAGCAAUGUAAAUUUCUCUCCUCUCUCCUCUUUCAAUGGGAGCAAAUAUGCCCCUUUCCCAAACCACGUCUGCCUUGAAUGCUCCCUGCUCUGCUGGGCACCUACUGACCUUGGCAGUGUCACAGGACCCGUGUUUUUCUGAAAGAGUAACCUCCUUGUGAAGAGGCUUAUUGCUUUGGGAAACACAAAGCAGUCUUGUCCUCCAAGUGUCCAAGCCUUCUUUUCACGUCUGUUUAUUCCUUCACUAGCAUUUAUUUUUGGCCCUGCAAAAAAAAAAAAAAAAAAAAAACACAACUCCACAUUAAAGGGAUGGUGUCCAGUUAAAACCCACAUGCUGCACCACCCCUUCACACCCCUUUGCAGAGGAAGGGAGCAGAGGAGACCAACAAAAAAACUCAAGAAGAACUGUCUUCUGUUGGGCACAAAACUGCCUUUGCUUUCUAGAGAAAAAGCAGCAGAGCAUCCUCAGAGCAUUGGUCAAAUAGGCCAAAUUCCGCAUGCCUGAGGCCUGUUUGUAUACAUAAUCACAAAUUCAAGGACCAAAUUUCCAUUUGUCCUGGAAAAUCUCUCUAGUUGGUAUUAUAAAAGGAGCCCAGGAGAGCAGGACACCAAUGUUCCGCAACGUCAUACCGAGUUUGUGGUGUGUGUAACUCUUGAGCAAUGCCAGCCUUUGCAACACAGCUUACCAAUGAUAUAAAAUCAGAAAGACAGUUUCAUGCUGCUUCUGUGCUGUCUCCACAGCUCUCUGGGACUACUAGAGCAAGAACAUGGCUUCUUAUGCAGUAUAGAAAAGCUUAUGAGGAGCAGCAGGUGAUUGAUGCCUCCUGAGGCCAGUGCCAGCUGCACUUAACUGCUGCUCAAGGCCAGUGUUAAGGCAAACAAAAGCACUUAGGCCACCAGCAGCGUAUGCUCACCUGUUUGACUUUGCAGAGAAGUAAUCACAGAGCCAGUGCCAGCUUUGUGCCUGUCGUCUCCCAGCUGAGAGCUGUGACUGUGUGUGGCCUGAUGCAGCUGCAGAAGGGCUGUCUGAGGGCUCACAAAGCUGAAGUCCGAGGCACAAAGUUCAAGUCCAAGGUCCUGUGUUGACAGUGUGUGUGGUCAAGACCUGCGUUCCUGUUGAAAGAAGGAGAGAAGGAAAGCUGGACUGCAUCAUGAGCUCUUUGUACUGGCUCUGCAAGAGCAAUUGUGCUCACUGGCAAUAUCUAUGUCUUGGACCACCCAGCAGCAUCCAGCAGCCCGGGUCGGGUAGGUGUGCUCCAUUUGUUUAGCACCAUGACUGAGUUGGGCACCUGAGGACAAAGUUAUUAAAGCAGUCUGCUCUCAAGACCUAUGUGACAGCAACUGCAUCACUGUCUGCUUUCACUGAAGUCAAUGGGACUCUGGCCACAGGCCUGAUUCCUCUCUCUCACACAUCAAUAGAUUAUCUUUCAAGUCCAUUGGCUUCUAUGAAAUUAGAGCUGUCAAGCCCUGGAUGUACACUAUGGCAUGGUUCAGCCAAAAGAAAUGGGGGACAUGAUGGAAAUUGAAACCUCUGGAAAGACUUGGCCUAUCUUGUAUGCUUAGCAAGUCAGUAGAAUAUUAAUGCUGCAUCCAUCACUCAGAGUACGUGCUUCUGGAUGCUUGGCUGACUUUGGUAAGGGGCACUUUGAGAAGGAUAAAACUGCAUUUUCAUUGCUGAGAAUCUUCCUACAGCACACAAUGUGGCCCAUGGGAUGCUGACAACCUACUGGAAUUGUCUUCAGAGACUACAUAGGGGCUAACACUGCUAAACUGUAUAAACAAGUGCUUACCCCUGAAUAUCACGUUAGUCCAAACAGGAUUUAUAAACACAGAGAUGGUCAGAGGUGGGCUGUCCUCCAAUCAGUCUGUGAAUCUAGAAAGAAAGAAAGAAAAAAGAUGACUUUGUAUUCUUUCAAUUACAUACGUUUCAUACAUAAUUAAAGUAAUCACAAAAACACAUGCAUUGUAUCAGUAAUUGGCAAAUUAAGAAUUCGGUCACGGUUGUUCAGGAACUUACAGACUCCAUGCAAUACCAAUAAUAAUUAUUUAUAACCUACUAUGCAAGGAAAUUAGUCCAGGAAAACUGACUGAUUAUAACGUAGCACAGUCACCCCAAGGGAGAAGUUGAGUGCAAUGUGCAAGGAGCAAGACAUCACACCAUUUUCUUGUCUUGUAUUAUAAACUUUACUGCAAGUAGCAUUCUGGUAUUUUGUAUUGAAUGUCUCGGUUCCCCUGUAACAAAUACCUAUUGUAUUCCUGCUGAAUUUCAUUGAAUUUACUCCUGAGUUAUACUUAAGGUCUGAGGCAGAUCCACAUUGCUGCUUUCUGUAUAAAUCCCUGAGCUGCUUAUUCACGAGGAUGUGCAGCUUCGCAAAAGAAUGAGUUGAGAGAAUGAGCUGGGUGGCAGACUGUUAGUUCUGAUGGUAUUACCAUAGCAUCCGGAGAAGCUAAAUGCAGUGCUAACUCAAGGUACAAGAAAGCUUCAGCCCUUGAAAAGAGCUAACAAAGACGAUGCACAGAAAGUGGGAGGAAGCAAAGAGGCACAGAGAAGAGAAGCGGCUGUGCAGUGUCACACAGCAGGCAACCUGGGGGGGCAGGAGCACGGCCCCGUCUCUUAGCACUUUCCAGCUUCACACUGCCUUUUGGUCCUUUCUGCAUGUGGACCUCAUGCAUCUUCAAUUAAAAGCACAACCCAAAAAUAGAAGAUCUUUUUUUGUCAAGAGAACUCGUGCUCUGCGAGUUGUGAAAACAGAUUAUUUC
rnacentral:lncRNA from 1 species